rnacentral:rRNA from 1 species
GAUGAACGCUGGCGGUAUGCUUAACACAUGCAAGUCGAACGGACUCUUCGGAGUUAGUGGCGGACGGGGGAGUAACGCGUGAGAAUCUGGCUUUGGGUUCGGGACAACCACUGGAAACGGUGGCUAAUACCGGAUGUGCCGAGAGGUAAAAGAGAAAUUGGCUGAAGAUGGGCUCGCGUCUGACUAGCUAGUUGGUGAGGUAAAGGCUCACCAAGGCAGCGAUCAGUAGCUGGUCUGAGAGGAUGACCAGCCACACUGGGACUGAGACACGGCCCAGACACCUACGGGAGGCAGCAGUGGGGAAUUUUCCGCAAUGGGCGAAAGCCUGACGGAGCAAUACCGCGUGAGGGAAGAAGGCUCUUGGGUUGUAAACCUCUUUUCUUAGGGAAGAACAAAAUGACGGUACCUAAGGAAUCAGCAUCGGCUAACUCCGUG